rnacentral:lncRNA from 1 species
AGAAAGGCUCUCAAACGUAAAACUCAGCUCUUUUAUUUAACCCCAUUUUUUUAUCACUCCUCUUAAAUAUAAAGUAUUUGCCAUUGUUGAAGAGCUUCUACUGGUGGUGCUGAAAUUGAAGAGGUGAGUUCUAAUCAAUAGACCAUAAAUUACUAAUCUUUAGUCAAUUCGAAUUUUUAUUUUUAUUUUAGGGUUUGAAUAUUUUUCCCCAACUUUUAUCUAUUAGAUAUUAAGAUUAUGAAAUGGCAAAUACCAACUUGAAUAGACUUUGUAUGGAAGAUGAAGACCUAAUGCUCAAUAUUGAAGUGCGAUGCAAACAUGAAAUUUUGUUGCAAAUGCAGACUUCUUGGUCAAAGCGUAAUCUUGGUAGAAGAUUUUGGUCUUGCCUCUACUAUGGCGUAUGUGUUCAUUUAUAGCCCAUAUAUUUUGGUUGAUUAACUCUAUGUUUUGUCAUUAAAUUGAUUCCAAUUUAUGAAAUUUCAAGCGAAGAGUUGCAAAUUUUUUCAAUGUGUUCAUUUAUUGUCCAUCUAUUGUAGUUGACUAACUCUGUAUUUUGUCAUUAAAUUGAUUCCAAUUUUUGAAAUUUCAAGCGAAGUGUUGCAAAUUUUCUUAAUGAAGGGACAAUGAAGUUGAUGAAAGAUUGAAAUUUAUUCUUCCAAGAUUGUUCAACAAAAUUAAAAAGAUGGAAGAAGGUUUGACGCAUUAUGGAAGCCUCAAGAGGUGGUUGGUUGAGUUUGAAAGUUUGAAAAAUGCCGAUAUUAAUUUGGCUAUGAUUGACAAUGAAAAAGAGAAGGGGCCAAAGGAGAAAAAGAAAAUGAUCUAAUGUUGGUUGAAUAGGAAGUUCAUUUUGUGUAUUGGGAUAUGUAUUUGUUGCUAUGUGUAUCAACAUCCUAAUUCAAGUUGGCAACUUGGAGAGUGAUCAAAUAAAGCUGCAAUAGCAGUUGCUUUGUGUUUGUAGCAAUUAUUUAGAAGUGUUUGAUUAAGGCUGUAAUAACUCUAUUUUAUUGUUAUUGUGGU